UACGAAGGGGGCUAGCGUUGCUCGGAAUCACUGGGCGUAAAGCGCACGUAGGCGGAUUGUUAAGUCAGGGGUGAAAUCCUGGAGCUCAACUCCAGAACUGCCUUUGAUACUGGCGAUCUCGAGUCCGGGAGAGGUGAGUGGAACUGCGAGUGUAGAGGUGAAAUUCGUAGAUAUUCGCAAGAACACCAGUGGCGAAGGCGGCUCACUGGCCUGGUACUGACGCUGAGGUGCGAAAGCGUGGGGAGCAAACAGG
rnacentral:rRNA from 1 species